AAAUCCCUCGCCACUUCCCCCACCCCCUUUGCUCAACCAACACUCAGCCCAGACCACCUCAUUCCCCUAUUCCCUUUUUUUCUUCUUCAAGGCAUCACCGCCACUUUAAUCCUUUCCUCUGUUUCUCGUGUCGUUUGCUGAGCUGAUCGCAGCACACACCUUCACGCGCGCGCGCACACACCACCGUAAACCCUGGCACGACGCGUCACUGCGACAAGCACAAAACAGGAGAACAACAGCCUUACAGGAACAGGGACGCCAAUAAAACGAACACGACAACAACCGUCACACAGACGCUCACUUGGCUAUACACACCCCACCCCCCUUCCGCCCCCCACUGCCCACUCCAGAGCUCAGUAUCUCCUGCCUUGCCGCGCAUACACGCCGCGUUUACCUCAGGAAUACAGGCACUCCCUUCUCGCACACGUACUGUGGAACCAUGCGCGCUCUUCGCUGCUCCAUAAUUCGCGGCGUCGCCGGUCUCCGCAUGGCGUCAUCGGUAUUGGAUGAGAUGAAGGAACAGAUGCUGAGGCGCAGCAAAGAAGACCAGAAGAAGAUCGGCGACCUCAGGAAGAAGCACGGCCAUGAGAAGCUGUGCGACGCCACCAUCGAUGCGGUGUACGGCGGCAUGCGUGGCAUCACCGGCCUCGUGUACGAGCCAUCACUGCUGGACUCCGCGGAGGGCAUCCGCUUCCGCGGCCUCACGAUCCUGGAGUGCCAGGAGAUGCUGCCCAAAGCGCCGGGCGGCAAGGAGCCGCUGCCGGAGGCGAUGUUCUGGCUGCUGAUGACCGGCGAGGUGCCGACGGAGGAGCAGGCAAGGGGCCUGAACGCGGAGCUGCACCGUCGCGUCGACCCCGAGGCGAUUGCCGCGGCGCAGAAGGCGAUCGCGGCGCUGCCGAAGAACGCGCACCCGAUGACGGCGUUCAGUGUGGGCGUGCUUGCGCUGCAGACCUACUCGAAGUUUGCUGCGGCCUAUGCGGCGGGCAAGUCGAACAAGAAGACGUACUGGGAGUACGCGCUGGAGGACUCGCUGGACAUGCUGGCGCGCACGCCGGCGGUGGCGGCGAUGAUCUACAACCGCGAGACCAAGGGCCAGGUGGAGUUGGCCGCACCGAGCAACAGCGACCUGGACUGGGCGGCGAACUUUGCGAAAAUGUUGGGCUUCCAUGACGAGGAGUUCCGGGAGUGCAUGCGUCUGUACCUGUCUGUCCACGCCGACCACGAGGGCGGAAACGUGUCGGCACACACGACGACGCUGGUUGCGUCGGCGCUGAGCGACCCCUACCUCGCCUUCAGCGCUGGCCUGAACGGUCUUGCUGGCCCGCUGCAUGGGCUGGCGAACCAGGAGGUGCUGAAAUACCUGUUUAGCAUGCAGGAGCGUGUGAAGGCGGACGGCGUGAACGUGAAUGAUGAGGCAGCGCUGGAGAAAGCGCUGACCAAGUACACGUGGGAGCUGCUCAACUCCGGCCAGGUGGUGCCCGGCUACGGCCACGCGGUGCUGCGCAAGGUGGACCCGCGCUACACCUGCCAGCGCAACUUCUGUCUGCGCCACAACUUCCAGGACGACCUGUUCAAGCUGGUUAACACCAUCUACAAGAUCAUGCCCGGCAUCCUGAAGGAGCACGGCAAGACCAAGAACCCCUACCCCAACGUCGACGCGCACUCCGGCGUGCUACUGCAGCAUUACGGACUGACGGAGCAGAACUACUACACGGUGUUGUUUGGCCUGUCGCGCCAGAUGGGCGUAUUGGCCGGCGUCGUCUGGGACCGCCUGCAGGGCCGCCCGCUCGAGCGUCCGAAGUCGACCACGACGGAGAUGCUCGCAAAGAAAUACCUGUGCAACUCCUUGUGAGGCAGCGUGAGGUCAUGUACACUUGGCGGACAGGCCAGGGAGACAGAGGAGGAGAUCGGCAGUGUCGCAAGUUGUUCUCUACAGAUAUAAUUUCGACCUCUUGUAUCGACAAUAGAAACCGCUGUCCCAAGCUCUCCUCCCUCCCCCUGUGCCACGGCCAGGAUGUUCACGACGACACCUAGCCGCAUCCUUGACUGUUCGCAGACGGCUUAGCAGACACACGCGCACACACGGACGCACGCCGCCCCGAAUCGAAAGGAGGCAGGCGAUGGGGGCUGGCUGGGUGAGCGGCGAGAGGUCCCCAAACUGUAGCGCAUGGAGCCGAGAGGCGGGGUGCGGAGGGGGCGAAGGGGUUGAGAAGCAGAAGAACUCCGUUGUGCGAGGGCCGAGGGUGUACCACAUGUACGCACGUGUGACGUGAAAGAGGAGUCGUGGGUACCGUGGAUGCGCGUGGUGUUAUUAGUUCUGUCGUUGUGGUGCAGCAUAUAUACAUAUGUAUAUAUAUAUAUAUAUAUAUAUAUGGAUAUCUACAUCUGUGUGUAUGUGCCCAUGUAUGUCUUGUUUUGCUCUUUUUUGCUGGUUUGCUUUCUUUUUGUUCGCUUUCCUUAUGCUUGGUUGCUGUCAUGCUCGACUCGUUGCCCUGGGUAUGUUCUUCGCGCUUCUACCCACCCCGCCCCCUCACGAGCCCUCCCACCGCUCCCCUUUGCCCUUAACAUCCACCAACACCCUAUAUGGUGUUCAUGUUGAUAUAUGCUCUGCUGCUCUGUGCGCGUUCGUGUGCUCUGUGUGUGUGCGUGUCUCUCUCUGUGUGGCUCUCUGACUCCCUGUGCACCUCUACAGGCUCCUUUCGAGGCGAAGAAGGAGAGGGCAAGGUUGCGAGAAUGAACUAUAUCUUAUUUGUGUGUGUUGUUUUGUUGGUUUCGCUGUUGGUGUAUCUGAGGGAAGCGGGGGGCGCUUGCCUCACGUGAUCGUGAGCAGACUCCUACUCCUCUUCCUCCUCACUCUUCCUCUCCUCACUCUCUACUUGUGUGCCGUCCUCUGCCCGCACUUCCUUUGCGUAUGCCGCUAUUCCGAGGGAGGCGGCGUACACACGAGAACGGGUGUAGCCGUAUGCGCGUGUUCGUGCAGGGGUUGCAUGUUUGUAUGAGUACACCUCCAUUAUCGGUGUGCUGUGUGGUCUGCGGCAGCUAGACGACUUUCCUUCCGUCCCCACCAAUCCACCAAACCCUUAUACCUGCUAGCCCUUCCCUUCCCCCCUCUCUCUCGUUCUCAUUGUUGCUUGUUGUUUUGUGUCGUUGCUGUAAG
rnacentral:misc_RNA from 1 species